GGGGUGGUGGCGCAGUUGGCUAGCGCGUAGGUCUCAUAAAUCCUGAGGUCGAGAGUUCGAGCCUCUCUCACCCCA
rnacentral:tRNA from 1 species